UACGUAGGGUGCAGGCGUAAUCGGAAUUACUGGGCGUAAAGAGCUCGUAGGCGGUUUGUCGCGUCUGCUGUGAAAACUCGAGGCUCAACCUCGGGCUUGCAGUGGGUACGGGCAGACUAGAGUGCGGUAGGGGUGACUGGAAUUCCUGGUGUAGCGGUGGAAUGCGCAGAUAUCAGGAGGAACACCGAUGGCGAAGGCAGGUCUCUGGGCCACUACUGAC
rnacentral:rRNA from 1 species